GCUGGUUUGGCUCAGUGGCUAGAGCGUCAGCCUUCGGACUGAAGAGUCCCAGGUUCAAUUCCUGUUAAGGGCA
rnacentral:tRNA from 1 species